rnacentral:sRNA from 1 species
UGAAAAAAACUCUUUUAUUGUAUAAGUUUCAUGUAUUUUUAUGCUUAUACUGUUUAACAGCUUGCAAUUUAAAAGGAUCUAUUUCUGUAUGGUCCUAAUUAUUUGUUGGACUGUUUUACUUAGAAUUACUAACGAUGCUUUAUUUUGCAGAAAGUAUCUUUCACUUUGUACAUAGAAGAUCUAUAUUUUAAUAUUUAAAAUAUAUUUAUUUAAAUAGUUUUUAUUCCAAACUUUUCAAGGGUGCAAGGGGCCCAAUUUUUUUUUAUUUAAAAAGUUCUUACAUACUAUGACUCAAGUAUCCAAAUAUCAAGUUCUUACAAACUAUGACUCAAGUAUCCAAAUAGCGUUUAAAUAUUUCAUAACUGCAUUCAAACCCAAUGUAAAAAAAACAUAAGUUUGAAAGAUAUUGAAAUUAUGAAAUAACUUUUGUUUUUCUACUUUCUUCUAGUUGUUUCCCAUUUAUAUUGUACCAUUUCAUUUUUUCACAUUAAUUACUUCGCUUUUAUCAAAUGUUUAUCUGAAUUUUUUUCGUAAGAUAAUUGUAAGUUGUACAAUCUCAUUUAAUUACAUAAAUCUUGACAAUAACAAUUUGAGAAAUUGUGUCCAAAUGGCUAUUGUCUAGGGUUAAUUAUAUUUUCUUUAUAUGUUUUUUGAACAAAUAAGUUUUUCUUGGGGAUAAAAGUUUCAAUAAUUUUAAUAGCUUAAUUAAAAUUGUAUCUAUUUUCACUAGAUUCUAAACUAACCAUUGAUACUACUUUGAUACCAUUCUAUGUAUGAAUGGUAACAAUAAUUAUAAUGGACAGAUGCAGACAGCAGGAAUAAUUUUCUGGUCUUCAAAAAUUGAAAUAAAUUUUUUUACAAGUUUUUUUUUUAAAAUAAUAUGCACUUAACAACAAUAAUUGUAACUUAGAAAGAAUUCAAAAUAAAACAAAAAUAUUUUUUUUAAACAAUCUUUUCUUUGAAUGUUUCAUGUUUUGAAUCAAGCUAAAUUUGGAUUAUUUGAGGAAAUUUUAAGAACCAGAUUGAACAAUACAAAACAAUUGAACUUUUCAUAAGAACAACAUAACUUGCAAUAAGACAGUGACAAAGCUAGACUUUAUUGUGAUAAGACACAAAUUGCUCAUAAAACUGACAUGGCUGGACAAUAGGCAUUUCUAUUGCAGUGUACACUUGGUAACAUGAAAUAUAAUGAGUUCAAGUAAUAACAGAUGCUUGGGCACACACAAUAUAACAAUAUAAAACUUUUACAUUUCAACUAAUGUAAUUAAAUAUACUUAUAAUCUAUCACUAAGCAAUCUAUUUAAAAAUAUAUAGGGUUUUUUUUCCAUUGGUUGACUCUUUUUAAAUAUAACUUUAAAAAAAAGUAUGCAUGAAAAAUAUGAACAUCUAUAUUAGCUGGAAUGCUUUUUUAUGAUACACAGACAAUUAAAAAGCAAUUGUUAACUCUUCAGCACAUAUGAAUGCAUUUGUUGAAUCUUAGCUACAGUACAUUGCAAAACAUGUCAAAUCUAAGUGUAGUGAACUAAAAGAUGUCCACCUCUGUUAUGCUACAUGAGGAGGUGGCUAGAUAGUAGAUAAAUUUACUGAAAUUACAAAACUAAACAGGAGUUGAUGCUUCAAAGCUUUGAUUUUGUGUGCAAACAACUAUUACAUACUGAGCACAUG